rnacentral:rRNA from 1 species
GGGCACGACACCGGAGAGGGAGCCUGAAGAAACGGCUACCACAUCCAAGGAAGGCAGCAGGCGCGCAAAUUACCCAAUCCCAACACGGGGAGGUAGUGACAAUAAAUAACAAUACAGGGUUCUUAUGGAUCUUGUAAUUGGAAUGAGUACAAUUUAAAUCUCUUAACGAGGAACAAUUGGAGGGCAAGUCUGGUGCCAGCAGCCGCGGUAAUUCCAGCUCCAAUAGCGUAUAUUAAAGUUGUUGCAGUUAAAAAGCUCGUAGUUGAAUUUCGGGAUCAAUACGUCGGUCGUGCCUCCGGUAUGUACUGGUGUUAUUGAUUUCUCCCUUCUGAUGAACCAUGAUGUCAUUAAUUUGAUGUUGUGGGGAGUCAGGACUGUUACUUUGAAAAAAUUAGAGUGUUUAAAGCAGGCUCACGCUUGAAUACAUUAGCAUGGAAUAAUGAAAUAGGACGUUCGAUCCUAUUUUGUUGGUUUCUAGGAUCAACGUAAUGAUUAAUAGGGAUAGUUGGGGGCAUUAGUAUUCAAUUGUCAGAGGUGAAAUUCUUGGAUUUAUUGAAGACUAACUACUGCGAAAGCAUUUGCCAAGGAUGUUUUCAUUAACCAAGAACGGAAGUUAGGGGAUCGAAGACGAUCAGAUACCGUCGUAGUCUUAACCAUAAACCUAUGCCGACUAGGGAUCGGAUGAUGUUAAUUUU